rnacentral:rRNA from 1 species
UGGGGAAUUUUGGACAAUGGGGGCAACCCUGAUCCAGCAAUGCCGCGUGUGUGAAGAAGGCCUUCGGGUUGUAAAGCACUUUUGUCCGGAAAGAAAACGUCGUGGUUAAUACCCGUGGCGGCUGACGGUACCGGAAGAAUAAGCACCGGCUAACUACGUGCCAGCAGCCGCGGUAAUACGUAGGGUGCAAGCGUUAAUCGGAAUUACUGGGCGUAAAGCGUGCGCAGGCGGUCCGCUAAGACAGAUGUGAAAUCCCCGGGCUUAACCUGGGAACUGCAUUUGUGACUGGCGGGCUAGAGUAUGGCAGAGGGGGGUAGAAUUCCACGUGUAGCAGUGAAAUGCGUAGAGAUGUGGAGGAAUACCGAUGGCGAAGGCAGCCCCCUGGGCCAAUACUGACGCUCAUGCACGAAAGCGUGGGGAGCAAAUAGGAUUAGAUACCCUGGUAGUCCACGCCCUAAACGAUGUCAACUAGUUGUUGGGGAUUCAUUUCCUUAGUAACGUAGCUAACGCGUGAAGUUUGACCGCCUGGGGAGUACGGUCGCAAGAUUAAAACUUAAAGGAAUUGACGGGGUCAUAGCUG